UACGUUUUCCUUGUGCGUUCUCCAGUCUUACCCAGCAUACGUCUUUUAGCUAAGCUAACUACGGUAGCUUUACAGCGUCAAAAGACACCUCUUCACGCUAUUAACGCCACUUUGUUUACGUUUCCGUGUGCCCUAAAUAACUUGGCCCGAUUGAAUCACUUUAUUUACACACUAUGAGUAGAACCGUGCUCACAGCAGCUAACUUAACUACUUUGUUGUUUAACUUCAUUGUCUAUAAUCUGCCCGCAGCGUGCAGCCGGGCGCAGCUAAAUGACACGUAAUGUAUUGUGCGUCUUCAAUGCUUUUCAAUAUGUUAUAUAUUUAUUGCCUUCACAAUGAGCAUGAAUCUAACAUUAAAUGAUAUGAUUAAUAUGCCCCUCAUUCCAAUGAAAUAAUAUACACACGUCAAGCUCAUUAUGGAGUUGAAACAACAAAUUACUAAACUGUAAACAGUUAAUAUAAGAGAAAAAAAUAUUGUUAUGAAGAUAAAUGUUUUACAAAAUGUGUGAUUAACUAGUUAAUUGUCUAUAAUCUGUUGACAGCCCUAAUCGUAUUCUGAUAAUACAUGUUGGUGCUCAAAUACUUUCAGAUGCCGCGUGCAAAGUCAUGCCACCAUCAAUGGGAAUGGCACAUUGGACACGUGGCUUUCAACUCCAGCGAGGUGGCGGCACGGAUCUCUGCAUGUCUGACUGACAUCUCCCAGUGGAUGUCCGCCCAUCACCUGAAGAUCAACCCCGACAAGACUGAACUACUUUUCUUCCCUGGAAAAAACUCGCCCACUCAGGACCUGACUGUUAACUUUGGCGAACACCGUUAACAUCAGGAGAAUACGACCCCUUCUCACUCAGAAGGCGGCGCAGCACACGGCACAGGUUGGCGUCACAAUCAUGGCAAAGUUGACUGGACCACAGCGGAAAAUGAUCCUUCCAGAGAAGAAGUUAUUUACUUCUACAAUGAAUGGAAAAGUUACAACUUCCAGAUGACAGCUCUCCGCUCAUCCUUCUGGGCAACUUAAACAUCCGACAGAACUUAUGUGACCCUACUGCGUUUAUUUUCUCCUUUAGCUGUCAUUUAAGUAUUAAAAUUCGCUGUAUUUUUGCAAGAGAGGCACCAAUCCUAUUUGAGUGACGUUUCGAAUGUGAAAUUGUAUUGGACCAUAUAGGUCAUCUGCAGAGCGUUGGCCCCUGGCGCAUUAAACCAGGGUUUGAUUCUUGGCAUGCACAAGACUCCUCAUGUGACUUAAAAUGAAUCCAAAAUGUAAUAUUUGUUCAGUAUGCAGGGGCAGUGAUUUAUUUAGUCAUGUUUGGUCAUGUUUUGGUUUUUUUUACAUGACAAUAUGGUUUGGUACAUGCUGAGUUAAUGAAUAUACAUUCUAAAGUGCAAUGUCCAUAUGUGAAUAAGAGUUGUAUACGUUUAUCAUAGUCAAUAUGGUAUGGAAAUAUCCCUUAUGUAGUUGGUCAAUGGGAACUAUAGUAGGCCGUAAUAACAGCUAAGGUAAUUACAGGUGGAUAUUUCUGGGAAUUAACCUUAAAUGAGACUGCAUUUAUGAUAUCUAAGAUAUACAGGACAAGAAAAAUGCACUGGAUGUGUAUAUGUGUUGAAUCAAUUAUACAGACGCAAACUGGAGAACGAGACAAGUGUUGCUGUGAUACUUAUUGUGGUCAUCGUGCCCGAGACCCGUAACAAUUACUCCGCAGGUCUUUUGCAGCGGGGCAACAGCCCGGCGUCGGUGGAUUCCGUUCGCGAGGCCGCAGAUUCAGGUUUGAAUGGCAGCCCCGAGAGUGAUUUGUUUAGUCUCUUUAGUCUUUUUUGACCCGCGAGCCCGGCCGACCGCCGCCCCACCCCAACGUGCGAGAAUAGGCGAAGGCCCGUUCAUCGCUG